rnacentral:rRNA from 1 species
GUUGAACGCUGGCGGCAGGCCUAACACAUGCAAGUCGAACGAGUGGCGGACGGGUGAGUAAUGUCUGGGAAACUGCCCGAUAGAGGGGGCUAACUACUGGAAACGGUAGCUAAUACCGCAUACCAUCGGAUGUGCCCAUAUGGGAUUAGCUAGUAGGUGGGGUAAUGGCUCACCUAGGCGACGAUCCCUAGCUGGUCUGAGAGGAUGACCAGCCACACUGGAACUGAGACACGGCCCAGACUCCUACGGGAGGCAGCAGUGGGGAAUAUUGCACAAUGGGCGCAAGCCUGAUGCAGCCAUGCCGCGUGUAUGAAGAAGGCCUUAGGGUUGUAAAGUACUGUCAGCGAGGAGGCGUUACCCGCAGAAGAAGCACCGGCUAACUCCGUGCCAGCAGCCGCGGUAAUUC